CAAAACAAACUCUUCCUCAUCGUCCUUCUCCAGAACCGAUCUAGGGUCUUGCUCGGCUGCCUGCUCUACAAGACGGGUGCCCAGGAAUUCCUCUGCGAUGUAGAACAAUCGGCACACAUCGAUCACAGUGCGGAGCAAAGUCUUUGGCUGAUAAAGGAGGAGUGGACUAUGGUGCAAUAAUGCAAUCAGUUGCACCAGAGUUGUCCACAUUGGAUUCUGAAGUGGGAUUUGAAAGAGGACGAGAUCGAAGCUGAUCUCGUCAACAUGAAUCUGAAAA